AUGAACGCUAGCGGCAGGCUUAAUACAUGCAAGUCGAGGGGCAUCAAGGUACACGAAAGUGUAUUGUUGGCGACCGGCGGACGGGUGAGUAAUAGGUAGGUAACCUACCUCAUACUGAGGCAUAGCUGGGAGAAAUUCCAGGUAAUUCCUCAUGAGGUUAUAUGACACAUGUGAUAUAAUCAAAGGUAUCGCAAGGUACUGGUAUGAGAUGGGCUUACUGACCAUUAGCUAGUUGGUGAGAUAAGAGCUCACCAAGGCGAAGAUGGUUAGGGGUUUUGAGAGAGAGAUCCCCCACAUUGGAACUGAGAUACGGUCCAGACUCCUACGGGAGGCAGCAGGCUAGAAAUUUGGGCAAUGGGGGAAACCCUGACCCAGUGACGCCGCGUGCAGGAAGGAGCCCUUCGGGGUGUAAACUGCUGUCGUGUAGGGAGAAGGGUACUAAGGUGAACAAUCUUAGUACUUGACGGUACUACAGGAGGAAGCCCAGGCUAACCUCGUG
rnacentral:rRNA from 1 species